GACAGAGGGUGCAAACGUUGCUCGGAAUCACUGGGCGUAAAGCGCACGUAGGCGGAUUGCUAAGUCAGGGGUGAAAUCCUGGAGCUCAACUCCAGAACUGCCUUUGAUACUGGCGACCUUGAGUCCGGGAGAGGUGAGUGGAACUGCGAGUGUAGAGGUGAAAUUCGUAGAUAUUCGCAAGAACACCAGUGGCGAAGGCGGCUCACUGGCCCGGUACUGACGCUGAGACGCGAAAGCGUGGGGAGCAAACAGG
rnacentral:rRNA from 1 species